rnacentral:rRNA from 1 species
UAGGAAUAUUCGUCAAUGGAGGAAACUCUGACGCAGUGACGCCGCGUAUAGGAAGAAGGUUUUCGGAUUGUAAACUAUUGUCCAUAGGGAAGAUAAAAGACUGUACCUAUGAAGAAAGCUCCGGCUAACUAC